UACGUAGGCAGCAAGCGUUGUUCGGAGUUACUGGGCGUAAAGGGUGCGUAGGCUGCGCGGAAAGUUGGGUGUGAAAUCCCUCGGCUCAACCGAGGAACUGCGCCCAAAACUACCGUGCUCGAGGGAGACAGAGGUGAGCGGAACUUAGGGUGGAGCGGUGAAAUGCGUUGAUAUCCUAAGGAACACCCGUGGCGAAAGCGGCUCACUGGGUCUCUUCUGACGCUGAGGCACGAAAGCUAGGGUAGCGAACGGG
rnacentral:rRNA from 1 species